CGUGUGCUCUGCGGGACUGCGCCGGUCCUUUGGGGGCGAAGCAGCGAUCGAAGGACUCCAGUGUGUCGGCUCUAGAGGAGGAGGAGGAAGAGGAGGAGGAGGAGGUGUCAGUCAAAGAGAGCAGAAGAGGGUGAAAAGCCACCGAUCCACCAGCACCGCAAUACCGCUGAAGACCGUCACCAGCUUCUAGAUCCGCCCUUAACAGAAACAGAGACUAAUAAAGUACCAUCAUACCCUGCCCUCUGUCCUUAAGGGGCAUUCUGACGCUGGCUGUGAUUUUCGAGUAAGAUGACGGGAGCCGAGGACGCACGAGCAGCUCUCGGAUGAUGCAUCCCGAACAGGAUCUGCGACGUCACCUUCCCAAGCCAGCGCACUUGGGCUAACAUUUCAUGAGAAAAGGUUGGUUCUACUUACCCACCACUGUCUUCUCAUGGGUGAUCUCGCUGAGGAAGUACGAGAGAAGAAGGAACCACCAAGCAAAGCAGCAUGGAAAAGUCAAGCCAACAACCAGCCCGUAGCUCUGUUUCAUGCACAACACGCCGAUCAAAGUGUGAGAGUAUCUACGGUCAUUUCGUACGCCAGCAGGUGGCAUAGCGGCUACAACCACUGACCCUAAUCCCACCUCCUGCUGUAGUACCCUUUAGCAAGGUACCUAACCCUAAAUGGCUCCCAUUAUAAUUAUGGAGCGAUGAUGGGAGAGCACACUUCAAUUUACCAAAAGAUGCUUCAUUUUUCGGGACGUGUUGAAAAAUAAAACACCCUUUGUCAAACCUGAGUGUGCUUUCCCAUCAUUGCUCCAAAAUCUUACAUACACCCUGGAGUUUCGAGCACCCAAGCCCUUGGUUCUUUAUUAUCACCAAGUUGCUUGUAUUUUUUUGUGAUUUCCAAUAACAAUUACUCAGCUGUAUAAAGUAGCUUAACAUUAUUGGCCACCUUGGAGAAAUUUGCAAGCUAAAUGGGAAAAAUGCACAAAAAUCAAUUUUUAUACCAAGUUAAAGAAUCAGAAUCUCCCCAAAAGAGACAGCGACUCAGUUGCCGACGUCAUACACAUAUAAUGCCACUUUUACAAAAGCUGAAUGGGACAAUACUAGGUGAACGUGGUCUCUCUAUUUGGUGGUUGUGGAAUCGGCGUUUUCUGUUCCCACUGGGCCCGACGCACCCGGAGACCCGGAAAGAGAGCACGUGAAUCAAUACACCCCGGCGGCAUCCAUCAGGCCAAACAAACAUCCAGUGCAGGAGCCAGUGAAAGAAAGGAAGAGUAAUGUUUCAGUCCUGCAAACAUCCACAGAAUCAAUCACGGUGAUGGACCGUCACGCUUGCUCGGAACCACGGUUCUCCGAGAAACCGCUGAAAAAUACCGAUCCAUCGACGCCGCGGCCCCGUGCAUUCGUUCGGCACGUUUCUGCUGCUAAACCGGCACGAACUGGAUGUAGAAAUUGUGGCGCUGAAUACUUUAUGCCAUAACGUUCAUGUGUCGGCUAAAAUAAAAACUUCAGCUAAGUGAAUAAAAUCUUUCCCUAAAUGUAAAAGCACUGGGGGGAAAAAAAAUGUGGUUACAAAGCCUGGCACACAAAAAGAUGAGAAAAAUCAAAAAGUACCCAUAAUAAUGGCUUUUUUAUUAUGCUGGCUGAAUAGAGAGAGAGAGAGAGACGCAGGUCCAAACUGCUCUGGUUAACUGUUGCCAUGCGUACCGCCGUCAACACGGCUGAUGACCUCUCUGAAGAAGAUCAGAGCGCCGCAAUCUGUAUUUCGAGGACUAAAGGUGCAUCAGGAGCACAGAUCCAUCAUCGACUUCCAGCACAGUAUGGAAACACAGUUUUGCCCCCACCAAGUGCCCACGCACGGUUUGAAAAGUUCCGUAAUCUCUGCCUUCUUUUUCACUGAAAAAGUUGGGGAUUCUUUUCGACUUACGCUCGUAUUUGCAAACGUGGGAAGUUUUUAUUUGAU